AUUUAACGCUGGCGGCAGGCCUAACAAAUGGAAGUCGAGCGGAGCGGCGGACGGGAGAGUAAUGAGUAGGAAUCUGCCUGGUAGUGGGGGAUAACGUCCGGCAACGGGAGCUAAUACCGCAUACUACCAGAUGAGCCUAGUGCGGAUUAGCUAGUUGGUGGGGUAAAGGCCUACCAAGGCGACGAUCCGUAACUGGUCUGAGAGGAUGAUCAGUCACACUGGAACUGAGACACGGUCCAUACUCCUACGGGAGGCAGCAGUGGGGAAUAUUGGACAAUGGGCGAAAGCCUGAUGCAGCCAUGCCGCGUGUAUGAAGAAGGUCUUCGGAUUGUAAAGCACUUUAAGUGGGGAGGCGUUACCGACAGAAGAAGCACCGGCUAACUCCGUGCCAGCAGCCGCGGUAAUAC
rnacentral:rRNA from 1 species